GACGGGGGGGGGGGGCAAGUGUUCUUCAGAAUGACUGGGCGUAAAGGGCACGUAGGUGGUGAAUCGGGUUAAAAGUGAAAGUCGCCAAAAAGUGGCGGAAUGCUCUCGAAACCAAUUCACUUGAGUGAGACAGAGGAGAGUGGAAUUUCGUGUGUAGGGGUGAAAUCCGUAAAUAUACGAAGGAACACCAAAAGCGAAGGCAGCUCUCUGGGUCCCUACCGACGCUGGGGUGUGAAAGCAUGGGGAGCGAACAGG
rnacentral:rRNA from 1 species